rnacentral:rRNA from 3 species
AACCUGGGAACUGCAUUCGAAACUGGCAGGCUUGAGUCUUGUAGAGGGGGGUAGAAUUCCAGGUGUAGCGGUGAAAUGCGUAGAGAUCUGGAGGAAUACCGGUGGCGAAGGCGGCCCCCUGGACAAAGACUGACGCUCAGGUGCGAAAGCGUGGGGAGCAAACAGGAUUAGAUACCCUGGUAGUCCACGCCGUAAACGAUGUCUACUUGGAGGUUGUGCCCUUGAGGCGUGGCUUCCGGAGCUAACGCGUUAAGUAGACCGCCUGGGGAGUACGGCCGCAAGGUUAAAACUCAAAUGAAUUGACGGGGGCCCGCACAAGCGGUGGAGCAUGUGGUUUAAUUCGAUGCAACGCGAAGAACCUUACCUGGUCUUGACAUCCACAGAAGAAUCCAGAGAUGGAUUUGUGCCUUCGGGAACUGUGAGACAGGUGCUGCAUGGCUGUCGUCAGCUCGUGUUGUGAAAUGUUGGGUUAAGUCCCGCAACGAGCGCAAC